rnacentral:snRNA from 1 species
GGCUGAUCUGGUCGUCUAGCCUGGUGUCUCCUUCCUCACUCACUAACCCUUCUGCAUUCCUCCUUAGCUUGUGCACUUUGUCAAAGAGAACAAUCUUCCUCAAGAAAGGAAGAUCGUCCCUUAGUCAGGGGAUAUGAUAAGCUGAUUUUCCCCAUGAGAACCCCCAAAGAAUCUCCCAGGGUUUAAUUUUUUAAGAAAAGAAUCAGCUUAUUGUUUCUUGCUGUUAAAAAUUCUCAGUCCUCAGCAUAUAUGUUGUGAUUCUGUAGCUUGGGGUUUUU